rnacentral:rRNA from 1 species
CUACGUGCCAGCAGCCGCGGUAAUACGUAGGUGGCAAGCGUUGUCCGGAAUUAUUGGGCGUAAAGCGCGCGCAGGCGGAUCAGUCAGUCUGUCUUAAAAGUUCGGGGCUUAACCCCGUGAUGGGAUGGAAACUGCUGAUCUAGAGUAUCGGAGAGGAAAGUGGAAUUCCUAGUGUAGCGGUGAAAUGCGUAGAUAUUAGGAGGAACACCAGUGGCGAAGGCGGCUUUUUGGCCUGUAACUGACACUGAGGCGCGAAAGCGUGGGGAGCAAACAGGAUUAGAUACCCUGGUAGUCCAUGCCGUAAACGUUGGGCACUAGGUGKGGGGGACAUUCCACGUUUUCCGCGCCGUAGCUAACGCAUUAAGUGCCCCGCCUGGGGAGUACGGCCGCAAGGCUAAAACUCAAAGAAAUUGACGGGGGCCCGCACAAGCGGCGGAGCAUGCGGAUUAAUUCGAUGCAACGCGAAGAACCUUACCAAGGCUUGACAU